UCAUGGGGGAGCACCGGCUACCCACGCUGGAGAAGGGGGAGCCGCGGACCCGGUCGCCGCGCGCGCGCUGCGCUGCGGCCGGGGCGCACAGCUCACCGGGCCCCACCCGUCCCACACCACCGGGGCUAGAACCUGGGAACCCACGAGGCGGACGGUGGCGGGAGGAAGUGGGGGGGAGGGGGGCUGGACACGGGGUUCCCGGGGUCGGAGGGAGCGGGCCUUGGGGUUCAUUUCCAUAAGAAAGCUGCGGUCCCCGUGGGAGGCCGGAUUUCUUGGGCCCCUCGGCCCUUCCCCCACGGCCGGGCUGGUGUGAGCCGCGGGCCGGGAGCUCCGAGGGCCGAGCGCGCGCCGCGCUGGCGGACGGCGUUGGUAAACGGUGCUGGGGAAGGUGGCCCGGCCGGGGCGGGGACGGCCAGCAGCGCGCCGGGCGAGUCCAGAGCUCCCGGGAGCCGGCAGGGAGAGAGCGUGUAGAGUUCCAGCUGACCGCACAGGCCUUACCUACUGCAGAGAGGCCAUCCUGGAGGACAGGACUAAAGAGUGUCACCUGGGAAGCACUUUGUCAAAGCAGCUCUUGUCUUGUUAAAUUUUAUUUUUUAAAAAACAUUUCAGAAAUGUUUUGGCUUCUCUCUCUGUGUACACUCCAUUACUUUGCAGCUACAAUGACGAAACAUGAACAGUGGUCAUCCUUCUUUCCCCGUUUGGAAGCAAGUCCAGCAAGAGGGACUUACAAAGCCCCAGAUACAGCUCAGGUGUGUACUUGGGUUUUUUUUCUCAUCCCCUCUCACUGGGCCACAGUUCCCACUUGAUCUUGGUUUUCUCUGGCCAACUUCCCCUAAGCAAAACCUCUCUGUCAGCUUCCAGGAGAAGAGGAUUUACUUAGAUCAUGGAACUUCCCAAGUCCAAGUGCGGCCAGGCUCAAGUGCUCCAGGUAGGCAAACCUGGCUCUUCUGAUAGCUAGAAGAUCUGACCUGGAUGCAGACCUUGGUUGUCGCAAACGGAAAUCCUAACCAACACAUUCCAGACCAUUCUAAGUUGAUGGCAAGUUAGGGUGCUUUACAUAUAUAAUGUUCAUGUAUUCUCGAUCAGCUCUGUUACUUGAAUUCAAGUUUUGUUCACAUUUGGGCACACAGAAACCAGCUAGGUUUACAUUCCCAGCACAUUUCCAUUGGGCAACUGUCGACCCUCCCAACAAUCAACACACUUCUUUCUGAAAAUUCAAAAAACCUCUCCCACUUAGAAAGAUUGUUUUGCAGUAUUUAACAACUCCAUGGGGGGUGUGUGUCUAGUUUUCUCCCUCAAAAAAUAAGCAAACUAACUGUUCUUCUUCUCCUUUCACACACCCCAACUAUUUUUUCAAAGCAAAAAAAAAAAUCUGUUUCCAAAAGGAGGGAAACAUACAAAUUCCAUUAAUGAAUUACAUACAUGGAAUGCGGCCUGUCUGGAGCAAUUGUAUUUGUAAAUAAAUGGCUUCCUGUU